rnacentral:lncRNA from 1 species
AUUUUGUAGCACUGCAGGUUUAUAGAUGCACCCUUGUUUUCAAAACUCUUAACUAUAAUUUUAAUGAGGUUUUCUUAAAUUUACACCGAAGAUGUGGUUUGCACGGGAUAUUUUGCCUUGUUCUACUUCAAAACAUGUUCUCUAAAUAAAAUAUAUUCUCCGUCCUUAAAUAUACAGUCCUAAUUUUAUGCAAAAUUCUAGAUGAAGUAACCUCCGACAUAGUUUUAAAACACAACAUUCAAUAAUAGAGAUCCAUAGAUCAUUGUCUGGUCCAAAUCUGACAUCAUUACGAGAAUUCGAUCCAGUAGAGGGAGUCCGCCAACGACAUCGCAUCCACGCUGGUGAGUUGAGCUGGAGCAAGAGAAACAAAUUAGAGGAGCCAAUACAAAUUAAGGAAAGAUAUAAAAAUAAUGACCUUGAAGAACUUAUUUUCUUUAAAAUAACUACUUAUACUAAUGGUUAAAACAGAAGUAUAUACAAAAGUUGUAGACCAUAGGGGAGCCUUUUGGCCCCUGCUAGCCCACUCCCCCCUGGAGUGCUACCACGCUGAGGGCAUGACUAGGGAGGAUCGCCUCUGCUUGAUUAAGAGGAGGCGAGGAGAGUGGAGGUAGGAGAAGAUUAAGAAGAAAAGGCCGUGAGGGAGAGAGGAGAGAGAAU